rnacentral:rRNA from 1 species
CAGUCGAGGGGCAUCAGGAAGAAAGCUUGCUUUCUUUGCUGGCGACCGGCGCACGGGUGAGUAACACGUAUCCAACCUGCCCUUUACUCGGGGAUAGCCUUUCGAAAGAAAGAUUAAUACCCGAUAGCAUAAUGAUUCCGCAUGGUUUCAUUAUUAAAGGAUUCCGGUAAAGGAUGGGGAUGCGUUCCAUUAGGUUGUUGGUGAGGUAACGGCCCACCAAGCCUUCGAUGGAUAGGGGUUCUGAGAGGAAGGUCCCCCACAUUGGAACUGAGACACGGUCCAAACUCCUACGGGAGGCAGCAGUGAGGAAUAUUGGUCAAUGGGCGCUAGCCUGAACCAGCCAAGUAGCGUGAAGGAUGAAGGCUCUAUGGGUCGUAAACUUCUUUUAUAUAAGAAUAAAGUGCAGUAUGUAUACUGUUUUGUAUGUAUUAUAUGAAUAAGGAUCGGCUAACUCCGUGCCAGCAGCCGCGGUAAUACGGAGGAUCCGAGCGUUAUCCGGAUUUAUUGGGUUUAAAGGGAGCGUAGGUGGACUGGUAAGUCAGUUGUGAAAGUUUGCGGCUCAACCGUAAAAUUGCAGUUGAUACUGUCAGUCUUGAGUACAGUAGAGGUGGGCGGAAUUCGUGGUGUAGCGGUGAAAUGCUUAGAUAUCACGAAGAACUCCGAUUGCGAAGGCAGCUCACUGGACUGCAACUGACACUGAUGCUCGAAAGUGUGGGUAUCAAACAGGAUUAGAUACCCUGGUAGUCCACACAGUAAACGAUGAAUACUCGCUGUUUGCGAUAUACAGUAAGCGGCCAAGCGAAAGCAUUAAGUAUUCCACCUGGGGAGUACGCCGGCAACGGUGAAACUCAAAGGAAUUGACGGGGGCCCGCACAAGCGGAGGAACAUGUGGUUUAAUUCGAUGAUACGCGAGGAACCUUACCCGGGCUUAAAUUGCAGUGGAAUGAUGUGGAAACAUGUCAGUGAGCAAUCACCGCUGUGAAGGUGCUGCAUGGUUGUCGUCAGCUCGUGCCGUGAGGUGUCGGCUUAAGUGCCAUAACGAGCGCAACCCUUAUCUUCAGUUACUAACAGGUCAUGCUGAGGACUCUGGAGAGACUGCCGUCGUAAGAUGUGAGGAAGGUGGGGAUGACGUCAAAUCAGCACGGCCCUUACGUCCGGGGCUACACACGUGUUACAAUGGGGGGUACAGAAGGCAGCUAGCGGGUGACCGUAUGCUAAUCCCAAAAGCCUCUCUCAGUUCGGAUCGAAGUCUGCAACCCGACUUCGUGAAGCUGGAUUCGCUAGUAAUCGCGCAUCAGCCACGGCGCGGUGAAUACGUUCCCGGGCCUUGUACACACCGCCCGUCAAGCCAUGGGAGCCGGGGGUACCUGAAGUACGUAACCGCA